UUCAAGCAGUUCUAAUAUAAUUUGACCACAACAUAUUUCACCUCAUCUCAUUUAUUAAUAUAUCAAGAAGGUAAUACUCAAAAAUUUGAAUGUCAGUUUUUUUUACACUUUAAGUCAGUGGUCAAAACAUUUAUAUUUUUCUCUUUUAUUAUUGUUGCUAUGUAGUUGUUUUAUCUGUUGUUGGACCAGCAGCACAAAACAACUAAUAUUUUUAAAAAUAGAUAUAACAACAAAUUCUAAUUUUAGCUAAUAGGCUCUUAUUUUUUUUCUUAUAUUUUAAGAAUAAUUAUACUUGAUGUUCACAACAGAAUGACAGUAAAAGUACCAGUUGUUUUUAUUUACAUCUAUUUUGUUAGUAGGCUGGAAACAAUGUGUAAAUAUCAAAAUCAGCAUCUUUUUGAAAACGUUCUAUGUUUUCUUUAUAAAACUAAGAAUAGAAAUAAAAUAAUUGCAUUUUGAAAAUGAUAAGGAUCUACUAUUUAUCAGAAAUGAUACAAUAUCUUAUGACUCUACGUUUGUCUUAUUAGCUUGUUUGAGCACAAAAUUGCUCUUUGGCUUGUAAAGCUUGCAGCCUCCUAAUAUAGAGUAUAAAGAAAAUACAAUGUCUAUAUAGAAUACAUCCAUAGACACUCUAUAAAUAAAUAGUAUACAGUAUUGCACAUAUUUUAAGAUAACAUUUCUUUCUAUUUUGUACCUAUCAACAUUCAGAGUGAAAGUUUUAACAGCCCAUCCACAGCAGGAGGAAACAAGUUGUUCCUGUGAGUCUGUAUUCUUCCUAAUAGAUCGACUAUCAUGGGAUCUGAUUAUCUUCUACCGCUUUAGUCACUCGCUGUAAGACACUGUGGUGACCAAAAUUUCACUAUUUGUUGCAUUUUCAGCUGGUAAGUUUCACCUUCACACUGCACCGUCAAACACCUGUUCCCCUUCCCGCCUGUGGUGGCGCUGCACCAAGAACCACCUGAAGGAAAUUAAAUUAAAACCUCUGAAGAAGACAUGAGCACAACUUCCUCCUUCGCAAAAAGUAAACAAAAAUGGGGUAGCGUCAGAUUUAACGGUUGUUGGAUUUCUCUCUUUUUUUAGAAGACCAUGACCAAUUUCUCCCGCUGGUGCAAAAUUCGCAUAUUUGUUUUGGUUGUAUUUAACCAGAAUGCACUGCGCUGUAGUUCGCUUCCUGGUCCACUUGGCGCGUUCACAUGCGCGUUCAAACCACUCCAGACUUCGUUUCAACCAAGCAGAGACCUAGGUUUUUAGGCGGACAAGAGUUCAAUUACUGGACUUUCCAGGAAAAUGAGCCAGCGUUCGGUUGAAGCGGUCUAAACCGGGCUGGUGUGAAAGUACCCAGAGAUGUAGGGAAUUUGGAAACUACUGGACCUGAUUUUCUGGUGUACAGUGCUGAGGCUCAAGGUGAGGUCAUCUAACGAGAUGUUUAAAGCUGCUCAUUUUUUCCACUUGCUUACCAUUUCUGCUCUUUUCCUGAAAUUUAACAUCAUGUCUUUCUUCUUCUUUGUAUUUAAGAUCAGAUCGUUCUGCUUGCACCAGUCUGCCAAAUCUCCUCUCUGCAGGCCACUGAUAUUGAUGCGGCUCCGUCAUCUGUGAAUCUAAACAUGAAGUUUGCUUAUUUUGGGAGCCAGAAAAGCAGUGAGGAGGCAGUGGAUGGAUGUUUUCUUUCCGUGACAGCGACACUGAGCUGCGUUCGCUGUAAUCCUCCCUGCUGUUGUGACUGACAGCCACAGGUUUUAGCUACACACCUUCCUAUGGAAUUCUGUUGACUGGAAGAAAACUUGCCACCCUAACCGCCGCGGCCCAUCACAGCGUUGAGCUCAUCACAACCACAAACCCAUGGGAAACUCUUUUUAUCCCUCGCUUUUCGCCUGCAUUUGUGUUUGUAAAGCACAAAUAUCACUUUUCACAAAAAAAAUGUCUAAAAUGUACAUUUAUAUCAGCUGGAGAAAAUGAAUUGAUUUAGGUGUUAACAGCUCAUAAAAUCCACCACUUGACUUCAGAGACAGAAGAUGAUUAACAGUGCUAUAAAUAUCUCAAUAUAUGCUAAAAAAAACAAACAAACAAAGAA